GACAGAGGUGCCGAGCGUUAGGCGGAAUCACUGGGCUUAAAGCGUGUGUAGGCGGACCGUUAAGUACCUUGUGAAAUCCCCCCGGCUCAACCGGGGAACGGCUGGGUAUACUGGCGGUCUUGAGCCAUCCAGGGGCAGUCGGAACAGACGGUGGAGCGGUGAAAUGCGUAGAUAUCGUCUGGAACGCCGAAGGUGAAAACAGACUGCUGGGGAUGCGCUGACGCUGAGACACGAAAGCCAGGGAGAG
rnacentral:rRNA from 1 species